rnacentral:lncRNA from 1 species
GAGAAAAUUAACAAAGCAAAUGAGUUAGGUCCAAAAGUGACCCAGCUCAAAAGAAAAAAAACACAAAAGGCAUGAUCUGCCAAAAAAAGAACAAUUGAAAAGGGAAAGUGGAAAAAUGAAGAAGCAUGAUAGACCAUUUUGGUUCUUGGUUAUCCAUAGCUUUAGGAAUGCGCUAGUCUUAUGUUCGUUACCUAAUUGCUAGCUGUGAUGAUAGGUGCAAACUUUUGAGCUAAGCUUCACGCUUCACUGUACGACUGACUUCUUCCUCCUUCAAAUAGCUUGUGAAAUGUCGGUCCCAACCUCUGCACAUCUGAGACCCCUUCAUAGCUAAGAUCAAGAUAAGUGUUAAGCCCUCCUAACCAACCUGUUAGCUUAAUUUGCUUUACCUUUUAACACCAAAUCGAUAGGUUGAGUCACUAGUGAGACUAAUACCACCAUCAGAUCCAAUGUCAAAAAGUAAGAAAUAAAGCUAAUUGUUGGUCAUCUUUUUGUUUCUCCCUUUGCAGGUAUUAUCCUGCCUCCCGAUUUGAGAAGUCCCAGUGAAAUAUCAUAGAUAGGAACAACUAAUCUUGGUUUAUCAUUGGAUAACACCUAAAAGUCUCACAGGUGCAGAUAGUAUAAAUUCAUGAAAUUUCUUCAGAUUAGUGUUGAUCUAUUUCGUUUACACUGGUAUUCCUUUUAAUCAAGAAGACAUUGUCUUAGAGAUUCUGAAAAGUUGUUACUUGCUUAUGUAUUGGGACUGGUCUUCUUCUAAUAGUUGAUGUGCCUUUUUUGUAUGAAAAUAAGUAUCUUCCUCCCCAUGCUAGGAAUCUUGAAAAUAUCUGAAUUUAUAAUCAUCUGCAAAAAAAGAAAAUAAGAUUAGUAAAUCAGCGAGAGUAUUUCCUUUCCUAAGGGAGUGAAGUACCUUCAUUGACAAUGAAUCCCUGAUUUUGUUGAUGCAUUCCACUCCCACUGCUAUGUUCCAAGGGACCUUCUAAACCCCUUGUAUAAUUUGGACAAGAACCAGAUAAUCAGACUGCACAAUAACAUUGUUAAUAUAAUUGUCCCUGCAGUAGGUCAGCCCUUCUCUCAUAGCCCUAGCCUCAGCUACUAGAUUCAUAGUAUUUGGUAGCUUUACCCUUUUUGCAAAAAUAAAAUUAGCUUUUGAAUUCCAAAUGCAAAAAGCUAAUGAGCUAGGGCCAGGAUUUCCCUUUGAAGCUCCAUCAAUAAUACAUUUAAACCAGUAAAUUUAAGGAGGGACCCAUUUAACAAUGUUGAAAGUAAAAACUAGCCUAUAUCUUUCAAGCCUUUCAACAAUUUGAGGCCAAUUUUUGUCUUUGCUCUAAUUAUUGAAUCUGGCCUUCAGUAACUUCUUCAAAGUUUGAGUGAUCUCCCACUUAACCUUAGCAACCUAUUGCUGCCUGCUUCAACACUUCAAGGGCAAGCUUUUCAUUUCGUUUAUCUUACUUCAGUACUUCAAGGGCAAGCUUUUCUUUUCAUUUAUCUUAUGCAAUUCUUGGUUGUGCUCUAGGCUGUAGUAGUUUGUAACUUUUCAGUCCUUGGUUAUUAUAGUCCUGAUCACUUAAGGGGUCGUUUGGUUUGGAAAUUGUUAUCCCGAAAUAACUAAUUAUUCCGGGAUAAAAUAAAAGAAUACAUUUUCCUUUGUUUGGUUGGAGGGAUUAAUUCAACUCGAGAUAACUUAUUCCACCAUUUUCCCCUUAGUCUCGGGAUAACUUAUCCCAUAUCCAUGAUGGAAUAUGUUAUCUUAGGUAAUCCCGGAAUAACUAAUCCCGAUAUUAGUUAUCUCGAGAUAACAAUUUUCAAACCAAACGAGCAAGUAUUGCUAUCUUGUGGCAUAUGAUUACUUUUGUUUGUGGCCCCCAUUUUCUUAUUUGUAAUUUUUAAGUGGGACCCUUUCUUCUAACUAUAGUAUAAUUUUAUGCGUUUCAAUUAAUACAUGUCUCCUUAUUUAUCAUAUUUAGUGUCUAUUAAAAAUUAUCCAAAUAAUUAGGAGUUGAUAGGUAGUAAGGUAAAAUUAUUCCAAACAUAUUGUCAAACAUUUAAACUUGGUAGAAUUUUCACUUUGACAUCUAAAAUAGAUAUUGUUCGUAACAAACACCUAAACCAAUCAUAGAGUGUGUCAUUUUGACACUUUUCGCUAGAUUAAAAAAAUCUAAAUACGUGUGUAACAAAUAAUGCCCGCAUAGAUUAAUUUCUACCAUGUGACAUUUUUUAAAUAAUUACAGAAUUAGUUUAAAAAAAUCUAUUUUGCAGAUCCCCAAGUUAUCUGCUCCAACACCCCUUCCCACCCAACACCGCCACCCUAACAAAUCAUCUUCUCCAACAUACCAACCCUGCACUCCAAAAAAUAAAAAGUGGGCAACUCACAGUCGAGUUCAACGAAUCCACACAUUGCUUUGGCCGAGAGGCAAUUGCAAUUUCUCUACGACACUAACUAAAUUAUUAUACAGUUGAAUAAUUGAUCAAUUUUGAAUUCAAAUAUCAUAUAUUAUUUUCUUUUUUUAAAGCCUCCAUAAAUUGUCUUCUCCGAUGCACCACCCCCUCUCGCGUCCUGCAUCGUCUUCUCCAUCAUACCACCAAGCUAUCUCCAUCUCUUACAAAGAACUCACUCAUUUAAAGUCCUUUUCGAAUUAUUUUUUACAAUAAUUCAACAAGUAAAUAACUGACAACAGAAAAAUUGAAGAUUUGCAAAUUUUAAUUACUAUCAUCCUUCAAGUUUUCUUCAGUCCAAAACACAUGGAAAAUUCAAAAGACAUAACAGGUUUUUCUUAAAAAAAAAAAAGAAAUAAAUCAUGGGUAUAAAAUAACUCGGGUAGUUUCCAGCCCCAAAAUAAUUUUUUUUGAGAAUUUUGUAUGGUCUCAUCAUUUUUUGACAUCAAAAUGUUUAAGGUUCAAUUUUUGAGUGUAUAGCUUUUUCUUUAAUGCUGAAAAGAUGAUUGUAGAUUAAUUUUAUUUAAGAAAAAAAGAAAUAAUGAUGUGGCUGCCAAAUUAUUGAAGAGCAAAUUUGAGUUUAAGCUUGGUUUAAUAAUAUGAGACAAUGGCUAGAAAAUUGAGAGCGAAGAUGAAGAGAAAAAUAACACACAAAAAAAUGUCCUAGACUACUCUUCCACGUGCUAAUAAUGAGUGUGAUUCACUCACUUUGUCAUGCAAGCAAAAAGUGUCAAAACAAUACAUCAAAAUAGUAGUUUAGGUGUUUAAAAUGAACAACGUCUACUUCAGGUGUCAAAGUAAAAGUUUGUGUCAAGUUUAAUUUAGGAGUCUGACGAUAUAUUUGGCCUUAAUAUUAUGUAGAUUUAGUAAUGCAUGAAUUAAUCAUGAGAAAAUUUAUAUAUUAAUUAUGCAAAAUUUAAUUUUUCAUGUAUUAAGGUCAACAUGCAUUCUUUUAACAUUCAAGGGCAAUUAUGUCAUAUUAGUAGAACUUCAAUAAGUAUUUUCUCCCUUUUUUGGUGACUAAUCUCAUUUAAUUACCAAAAGUGAGCAUUACAAAGAAAUCUUUCAACCUGAAAACAUAAUCUGGUAGCAACAACUAUGACUUCACUUCUAAUCAGACUAUCAACAUUGUGGGUAAUAUUUCAGAUUAGGCAACACCCUAGUUAACUUAGCCUUAAAAUUAGCAAGAAAAAUCACUUUCUGUAUUACUGUCCUCACUACUCUGUCAGGCUGCAUGAUAGUUUUUCUGUAUGUUCUGCUAUUUCUUGCAUGCCAAAUGUAGUAUACACAAGCAGUAAGCAUCAUCCUAAACACAUGUGUAUUGGCUGAUCUUGAUGUUUAGUAGACUCCAGGCCAGUUCACUAGCCCAAGCCAUAGCAAUUCUUAGGGAGCCAUAGCUUUCCAUAAACUGAAUGACACCUUUAGGGAGCACAAAGAUUUGUGACCAGUAAGUUUGAAUUGAAAACAACACUUUUAAUUAGAUGAAGUCUGCCAGCAUAUGAUAAGUAUCUAGUGGUCAAAAAUAUAAUUCGACUCAUAAUUCUUUCCACAAGAGGCUAACAUUAAAUGAUGGAUAUGCUUUUUGUACUCAAAGAGACUCCAAGGUAUCUAAAAAGCAUAGCACCAACACUGAAUCCUAACAAUUCCAGUAUCUAAUGUUAGGUAGUGCUUUGCACCCCUCCUAAGUAGACAGAGCUUUUACUAGCAUUAGCUUGCAACUCUAAAUCCAUAAGAGAAUUUUGAGAAGCAAGUAAAUAACAAUUCAAGAAACUUCAAAUCCCCUUUGCAAAAUAGAAAAGAUCAUCAGCAAAUCCAAGUUGAAUCAGAUUCACUUUCGCACGCUUAGGAUGGAAUUUAAACUCCUUUUGUACUCUAAGCCCCUUCAGUAAUCUUUUGAGGUACUCCAUUACAAUAACAAAGAGGUAAGGAGACACAGGAUCUCCUUGUUUCAAACCUCUUUUAGCAGGAAAUGGACGAGGUGGACUACCAUUGAGCACUAUAGAGUUUGAGACAGUACUUAUGCAUUACAUGAUCCAAUGCAUAAAUGGUUCAGGAAAAUUCAGACCUCUCAGCAUCUGUUCUAUAAAAGUCCAUUCAACAGAGUCAUAUGUUUUUUGAAUAUAUAUUCAACAUGUACCUUGGAGAAAUACCUUUCUUUCCAUAUCUAUUAACCAUCUCAUGGCUUAAAAUGAUGUUAUAUAUUAUCAAUCUACCUGGUACAAAGGCUGCCUGGCAAGGAUUAAUCAGACAAUCUAUUACCUGUUUCAUCCUGACUGUGAUUAAUUUUGAGAUAAUCUUAUACAAGGUAGUGCAACAAGAGAUUGGUCUAAACUCGUUAAUAGUGGUUGGAUUUUUAACCUUUGGUAUUAAGGUUACACAAGUACAAUUCACUGGUUCGAACAUUUUACCACUGGUGAAGAAUUAAAGAACAACAUCGGUAACUUCAUCACCUAUAAUAGGCCAAGCUUUGUGAAAGAAACAAGCAUUCAUACCAUCACAGCCUGGUGCUUUGUUCCUAUUUAUAGCAUUAAAAACAUCUAAAACUUCUUGUCUGGUGACAGGUUUAAUUAAUUCCAGUUGUCGAGUCUUGUUUAGGACACAACAUUUGCUCAAUACUGCAGGCUCAAGUUUUGGUUGUAGUACCUAGUAAGUAAAACUCAAUAACCUCCUUCUGUAUAUCAUCUUGAGAACUCAACAUAUUGCCUGCUAGUGAUACCAGGUUCUUGAUCUUAUUGUGGGCUUGUCUACCCUUUAAACCUGUAAAAAAGUACUUAGUAUUUGCGUCUCCCAAUUUCAGCCAUGCCAUCUUGGAUUUUUGGUUCAUAACACUCUUCUAUAUAAGAUCCAAUGUUCUAGUUUCAGGUUGAGCUGCUUUUCAGCUUAAAAUCACUCAUUUGAUAAAUUGCUCUUUAUUUCUGCUUGCAGUUCCUCCAGCUUUGCUCUAGUUUCGUGAAUUUUACUAGUAAUGCUAGUGAAUUUUCGUUUAGAAUCUUUAAACCUUGUUUCACUUUCUUCACUUUCGCCUAUACCUUCUUCAUAAAAACUUUUGUAAUCGGCUCCAUCCAG